UACGUAGGGCGCAAGCGUUGUCCGGAAUUAUUGGGCGUAAAGAGCUCGUAGGCGGUCUGUUACGUCCGCUGUGAAAACCCGGGGCUCAACCCCGGGCCUGCAUUCGAUACGGGCAGACUAGAGUUCGGUAGGGGAGUCUGGAAUUCCUGGUGUAGCGGUGAAAUGCGCAGAUAUCAGGAGGAACACCGGUGGCGAAGGCGGGACUCUGGGCCGAUACUGACGCUGAGGAGCGAAAGCGUGGGGAGCAAACAGG
rnacentral:rRNA from 1 species